rnacentral:tRNA from 5 species
UGCCUCGUAGCUCAGUGGUAGUAGCGAUCGCCUGUUAAGCGAAAGGUCGCAGGUUCAAACCCUGCCGAGGCAGCCA